rnacentral:hammerhead_ribozyme from 1 species
AUCCAGCUGACAAGUCCCAAAUAGGACGAAACGCUCCUUAUCCUGUAU